rnacentral:rRNA from 1 species
UACGGGAGGCAGCAGUGGGGAGUAUUGCACAAUGGGCGAAAGCCUGAUGCAGCUAUGCCGCGUGUAUGAAGAAGGCCUUAGGGUUGUAAAGUACUUUCAUCGGGGAGGAAAAAACAAAACUAAUAAUUUUAUUUCUUGACGUUACCCGAAAAAGAAGCACCGGCUAACUCCGUGCCAGCAGCCGCGGUAAUACGGAGGGUGCUAGCGUUAAUCAGAAUUACUGGGCGUAAAGAGCACGUAGGUGGUUUUUUAAGUCAGAUGUGAAAUCCCUGGGCUUAACCUGGAACUGCAUUUUGAAACUGAAAUACUAGAGUAUCGUAGAGGGAGGUAGAAUUCUAGGUGUAGCGGUGAAAUGCGUAGAUAUCUGGAGGAAUACCUGUGGCGAAAGCGGCCUCCUAAACGAAUACUGACACUGAGGUGCGAAAGCGUGGGGAGCGAAACAGGGAUUAGAUACCCGU